GCCAUCUUGGAGACAGAGAAAGGCAGUCCUCACCAGACACUGAAUUUGCCAUGUCCUUCUUCUGAGACUUUCUAGCCUCCAGAACUGAAGAGAGGGUCAAUCUAAUCUAAUACUCUGUCAUGACUGGAAGAAAAGACUAUUGUAUACAUUCCUUUUAGUGCACAUGAAUUCCCUUUGAGCUUCAUCUCACCAUCCUAAAGUGUGCUAAGAAACAACGAAAAUUACAAGGAAUCCACAAAGAAAAAACUUUAUAGAACUGAUUAUUAAAUUCAGCAUGGUUUCAGACUGUCCUUAUCCCACUGAAUUUUCUUGUUACCCUUAUCGAAACUGAAUAGACCAUACAAAAGAUGGUAAUGCUGAAAUUAUAGCCAAACCAAAAGAAAAUGAAGGCACUUAUCAAGUUUAUGGAUAGCCAUUCACUGUCUGAUAUUUAAAGUAAAACAGUUUCUGGGACCAGCAGAUUUUGCAAUGAUUACAUCCCUGGACUUCCACUUUGUCGACUACGAGUUCCAAAUCUGCAGGCUUGAAACUCAUUGGGUACCCU